rnacentral:rRNA from 1 species
AGGAUGAACGCUGGCGGCGUGCUUAACACAUGCAAGUCGAACGAUGAAGCAGUGCUUGCUCUGUGGAUUAGUGGCGAACGGGUGAGUAACACGUGAGUAACCUGCCCUUGACUCUGGAAUAAGCGUUGGAAACGACGUCUAAUACCGGAUACGAGCUUCCGCCGCAUGGGUGAGGAGCUGGAAAGAAUUUCGGCAAGGAUGGACUCGCGGCCUAUCAGGUAGUUGGUGAGGUAAUGGCUCACCAAGCCUACGACGGGUAGCCGGCCUGAGGAGGGUCGACCGGCCACGACGUGGAACUGACGACACGGUCCAGACUCCGUACGGGAGCAGCAGGUGGGAAUAUGACACAAGUGG